rnacentral:rRNA from 1 species
GAUGAACGCUGGCGGCGUGCCUAAUACAUGCAAGUCGAGCGAACGGACGAGAAGCUUGCUUCUCUGAUGUUAGCGGCGGACGGGUGAGUAACACGUGGAUAACCUACCUAUAAGACUGGGAUAACUUCGGGAAACCGGAGCUAAUACCGGAUAAUAUUUUGAACCGCAUGGUUCAAAAGUGAAAGACGGUCUUGCUGUCACUUAUAGAUGGAUCCGCGCUGCAUUAGCUAGUUGGUAAGGUAACGGCUUACCAAGGCAACGAUGCAUAGCCGACCUGAGAGGGUGAUCGGCCACACUGGAACUGAGACACGGUCCAGACUCCUACGGGAGGCAGCAGUAGGGAAUCUUCCGCAAUGGGCGAAAGCCUGACGGAGCAACGCCGCGUGAGUGAUGAAGGUCUUCGGAUCGUAAAACUCUGUUAUUAGGGAAGAACAUAUGUGUAAGUAACUGUGCACAUCUUGACGGUACCUAAUCAGAAAGCCACGGCUAACUACGUGCCAGCAGCCGCGGUAAUACGUAGGUGGCAAGCGUUAUCCGGAAUUAUUGGGCGUAAAGCGCGCGUAGGCGGUUUUUUAAGUCUGAUGUGAAAGCCCACGGCUCAACCGUGGAGGGUCAUUGGAAACUGGAAAACUUGAGUGCAGAAGAGGAAAGUGGAAUUCCAUGUGUAGCGGUGAAAUGCGCAGAGAUAUGGAGGAACACCAGUGGCGAAGGCGACUUUCUGGUCUGUAACUGACGCUGAUGUGCGAAAGCGUGGGGAUCAAACAGGAUUAGAUACCCUGGUAGUCCACGCCGUAAACGAUGAGUGCUAAGUGUUAGGGGGUUUCCGCCCCUUAGUGCUGCAGCUAACGCAUUAAGCACUCCGCCUGGGGAGUACGACCGCAAGGUUGAAACUCAAAGGAAUUGACGGGGACCCGCACAAGCGGUGGAGCAUGUGGUUUAAUUCGAAGCAACGCGAAGAACCUUACCAAAUCUUGACAUCCUUUGACAACUCUAGAGAUAGAGCUUUCCCCUUCGGGGGACAAAGUGACAGGUGGUGCAUGGUUGUCGUCAGCUCGUGUCGUGAGAUGUUGGGUUAAGUCCCGCAACGAGCGCAACCCUUAAGCUUAGUUGCCAUCAUUAAGUUGGGCACUCUAAGUUGACUGCCGGUGACAAACCGGAGGAAGGUGGGGAUGACGUCAAAUCAUCAUGCCCCUUAUGAUUUGGGCUACACACGUGCUACAAUGGACAAUACAAAGGGCAGCGAAACCGCGAGGUCAAGCAAAUCCCAUAAAGUUGUUCUCAGUUCGGAUUGUAGUCUGCAACUCGACUACAUGAAGCUGGAAUCGCUAGUAAUCGUAGAUCAGCAUGCUACGGAGAAGACGUUCCCGGGUCU